AAGCAAUGAAAAGUUUGUGCAGAUAUUAGUCUACUAAAGUCUUAAGAUAUCAAUUAUGAGGUAGAUUUGCUAGAGAAAAAUUUUCUAGUGGUGAGAGAGACAAUUGCAACUUGCAAGGUCAUAUUUGGCUCUAAAUUGAGUUAGGAUGAAAGUCAAAUCAAGUCGAGAGGCAUCGAGGGGAACAAAAUCUACUUGUUGCUUACUGCAUUGUGAGCCGUAGCUUGUGUGACUUGCGCUGCAGCGCAUGGCAUAACAGAUUGUGGUGUGGAAAGACUUACCUUGACACAAGAAGAAAUUUAGUACCAUGGGUAACCCUUUUAGUAACAAAAGGGUUGAGGUUCUACUACUAAGACUGAGCGAGGGAAGGAAUCGGGCAAGGAUUAGUAGAUUUGUUACAUCGAAUAGUAAUGCCCGAUUUUAGUUUGAGUGGUGUACAUAAACUUGUUAUAUGAUAUUGUAUGUUGCCAACUAGAAAUGCAUAUCAUUUUGAUUUGGUUGUACUUGUUCCAUACUAUGUUGUUUUGUAUUUUAGCCCAAUAUUAUAUAUGAUGUGAAUAUGUGGCAAUUUUUAUGGUGAUGGGCUAAAAUACUAAUACAAGUGCAAG